AUGCUGGCAGCCUGCGGGAGCCGGGKGCUGAGCGGGAAAGCGCUGGGAAAGGUCAGCGUGCUCAGCCAUGGCGAGCAGGGCGCUGCGGGCAGCGGCUGGCUGCGUCGCUCCAACAGGCGCCGGCGGCUGCGGGGAUGCUGGGGGAGCUUCCCCCCAUCACCUUCCUCCAGGACAGGCUCUCCGCAACACGCGCACGUGCACGCACGCCCCUGCACGCCUUGCACCAGUGCAGCGGGGUGCGCGCGGUUCCCCACCACCACCCCGGCGGCUGAGCUGUGCACCCAUCGCGCACGGCUUGCACCAGCAUCGCACGAUUCCCGGAGACGCGCGGAGCCGUGCAGCAGCCCCCAGGGCUGGGCCAUCCCCCGGGGCAGACGCAGCUCCCGCGUGCGCCUCGCCAGCGCCGUGCUUGCACAGACACCAGGUGAGAUUUGCAGCUGUGCACGCUGUUUGGUGCAAAGAGCCCCCCCCCCCCCGCCCCCGGGCUGCCUUUGGGACCACUCGCCUCCCAAAUCCCCCCGCGCGGAGCCCCGCUGCCCGGGGCAGCCGCUCCAGCUGGGAACGCCAGACCGCAGCCGCCUCCUUCUCGCAUGGCCCUGUCCGGAUUGCCAGGGCGGAUCGGGGCCCUUUGCCCCCUGCCGGGGCAGAGGAGGGGGGGUCUGCUCCGAACGGGAAGGGACGUGGGGACUUUUUUUUUUUUAUUAUUGUUAUUAUUUAAUUCCCAAGGUCGUAGGAUUUACAGCCCGCGCUUACGUACUAUCAUCAGACACAGCCAAAUAAAAAUGAUAGAUUUCUGCGCUUGCUUUACAACAGCUUUCUGCGGUUAUUCAGGUUGCUAAAAAUGUUUUCUGCUCCAAAAAAAAAAAAAGGAAAAGGAAGAAAAAAGAAAAAGAGCAAAAGGAAAAAUCUGAUAGGAUCCAAGCAAAUGAUGGAUUGCAAGAGAUAAUCCAUCUUCUCAGCCCAGGACUACAUAACCUUGAUGUCACCGAGUAUUUUUUCUCCGCGUGAAAUUUCCAGGCGGGAACUCAGUGGCAGGCAGAGGCGCCACGCCGGAGCCGGGGGUGCCGCCGUGGGGGCUUCCCAAAGCGGCCCAUGCCGGGGCUUCCGCCACGCUCCCCUUUCCUGGAGGGGGGAGCAAAAGGCGAGUGACACCACCGCCACUGUCACCACUGCCACCAUCACUGCCACCAUCACCGCCACCACCGCCACCGCUGCUCUUUCGUCCCCUGUAACAUCAACCUUCCGUCUCCUCCUGGCGUCCGCCGGUCCCCAUCCUCCCCCCGCUCCGCUCCCGCCUCGCGCUCUUCCCCGGCGUCUCUUCCAUUUGUAUCUGACGCCGGCCGUGCAAAUUGGUGUGAAAUAAAAAAAGGCAUCUCUGCCCA
rnacentral:lncRNA from 1 species